GGGCUAUUAACUCAGUUGGUUGAGCGUGGUACUAAUAAUGCCAGCGUGACAGGUUCGACCCCUGUAUGGACAA
rnacentral:tRNA from 1 species